AUGGUGUUCGCACCUCAGAUCCUUGGAUUUCUGCUUCUCUGGAUUUCAGCCUCCAGAGGUGAUAUUGUGCUAACUCAGUCUCCAGCCACCCUGUCUGUGAAUCCAGGAGAAAGAGUCAGUCUUUCCUGCAGGGCCAGCCAAAGUAUUAGCAACUACCUACACUGGUAUCAACAAAAAAUCACAUGAGUCUCCAAGGCUUCUUCUCAUCAAGUAUGCUUCCCAGCCCAUCUCUGGGAUCCCCUACAGGUCAUGUGCCAACAUAUCCUCAGUGGAGGGUAUAAAGGUUUGCCCACUUCCUACAAUAAAAGGGUCUACUUUUGAUACUUUCUUGACUGCCAGAGUCUUUAUGGUUAACUCUACACAUGUUUACCCCAACCUAGCACUCAAGGGC